GCGCGCCACCCCGAGGGGGAGCUCCUGGAGUGCUGGGCGAGCUGGGCGCUGAGGGCAGGACGCAGGCUGGGGGCGGCCCUGGAGAGAAUAAGCCUUGAGGUCUUUGGCUGCUACACUUCCCGAAGGAGGCGGCCCAUUGGGGGUCAGGUGGGGGAUGGGACCCCAAAGAGGAGAGGCGGGCUUAAUCGCCCAGUCUCAGAAGCACGUUCGAGUAAAUGGGAGCGACUGACACUGGAAUUAUUCGCAGCUUUCCAACAACUCACACCUCCCUUAAGAGCUGCGCCACGUCGAGCCAGCCCUGCGCUGGGGAUAGGUUGGGGGCAGGGGCGAGCAACAGCCGCAAGGAGGCUAUGCGGGCUCUCUGGAAGGUGCCUGGGGCCAGUCUUGGGAGGCCUUCCUUGAACCUCCGCUAGAAACGGAAAUGACAGACAAUGUGAAUCUUGUCCCAUUGGAAAUGAGUACAACGGAGAAGUACAGUCUUUUUAGUAGAAACACAUCAUGUCAAAUCUACAGAUCACUUUACCAUUGCUGGCAAAGAAUAAAAGGAGCUGUUGGAUUUUGGGGCAAGGUCAUGGACUCCAGAAAACAUCCUCUGAAGAGUCUGUCCUCGGAUAUGCCCUUUAUUGGAGGUUACAUCAUGAAGUUUUGA
rnacentral:lncRNA from 1 species